GUUUUAUUCAAAUCCCCACUCAGGAUUCAAGCUGCAAAAAAAGAUGAGAACUACUGUGCAUUUGGAAUGUUUCUGGUCACUUGGAAAACACCCUUUGUUUAAAAAUCUCUGCCUUUAACUCUUGAGCAACCCUGAAAAUCAAAAACAGAUGACAGCUAAAGGAAUAAUGUAAUAGAACUCACUUUUGGAUUACUGUUUUUAAAAUCUCACUUCUCUCUGCUCCCAGUCACAUGCUCAAUGAUAUUGUGUGGAAUUUCCAGAGUACAUCAUGUGAAAUGCUGGGCUGGAUGAAGCCCAAGCG